UACGUAGGGGGGCCAGCGUUGUCCGGAAUCAUUGGGCGUAAAGCGCGCGUAGGCGGCCAGGUAAGUCCGGUGUGAAAGUCAAAGGCUCAACCUUUGAAUGCCGCUGGAAACUGUCUGGCUCGAGUCCGGGAGGGGCGAGUGGAAUUCCUGGUGUAGCGGUGAAAUGCGCAGAUAUCAGGAGGAACACCAAUGGCGAAGGCAGCUCGCUGGAACGGAACUGACGCUGAGGCGCGAAAGCGUGGGGAGCGAACAGG
rnacentral:rRNA from 1 species